rnacentral:rRNA from 1 species
GUUCCAGACUCCUACGGGAGGCAGCAGUGGGGGCUCUUGGACAAUGGGGGAAACCCUGAUCCCGCGACGCCGCGUGAGUGAAGAAGUAUUUCGGUAUGUACCGCUCUGUCAGCAGGGAAGGAAGAAAUGCCGGUACCUGACCAAGAAGCCCCGGCUAACUACGUGCCAGCAGCCGCGGUAAUAAGUAGGGGGCAAGCGUUAUCCGGAAUUACUGGGUGUAAAGGGAGCGUAGACGGUGAUGCAAGUCUGGAGUGAAAGGCGGGGGCCCAACCCCCGGACUGCUCUGGAAACUGUGUAACUUGAGUGCAGGAGAGGUAAGCGGAAUUCCUAGUGUAGCGGUGAAAUGCGUAGAUAUUCGGAGGAACACCGGUGGCGAAGGCGGCCAACUGGGCUUUAACUGACGCUGAGGCUCGAAAGUGUGGGGAGCAAACAGGAUUAGAUACCCUGGUA